rnacentral:rRNA from 1 species
AUUGAACGCUGGCGGCAGGCCUAACACAUGCAAGUCGAGCGGAGCGGCGGACGGGUGAGUAAUACCUAGGAAUCUGCCUGAUAGUGGGGUAUAACGUUCGGAAACGGACGCUAAUACCGCAUACUUACAGAUGAGCCUAGGUCGGAUUGGCUCGUUGGUGUGGUAAUGGCUCACCAGGGCUACGAUCCGUUACCGGUCUGAGCGGAGGAUCAGUCACACUGGAACUGAGACACGGUCCAGACUCCUACGGGAGGCAGCAGUGGGGAAUAUUGGACAAUGGGCGAAAGCCUGAUCCAGUCAUGCCGCGUGUGUGAAGAAGGUCUUCGGAUUGUAAAGUACUUUAAGUUGGGAGGCGUUACCGACAGAAUAAGCACCGGCUAACUCUGUGCCAGCAGCCGCGGUAAUAC